UGCAAGUCACGGGGGCCCGCAAGGGUAACCGGCGAACGGGUGCGUAACACGUGAGCAAUCUGCCGUCCACUGGGGGAUAGCCGGCCCAACGGCCGGGUAAUACCGCAUACGCUUGCCGGGUGGCAUCACCUGGCAAGGAAACCUCCGGGGGUGGACGAGGAGCUCGCGGCCUAUCAGCUAGUUGGUGGGGUCACGGCCCACCAAGGCGAUGACGGGUAGCUGGUCUGAGAGGAUGGCCAGCCACAUUGGGACUGAGAUACGGCCCAGACUCCUACGGGAGGCAGCAGUGGGGAAUAUUGCGCAAUGGCCGCAAGGCUGACGCAGCGACGCCGCGUGGGGGAUGAAGCAUUUCGGUGUGUAAACCCCUGUUGCCCGGGACGAACCUCUCCUUUCGAGGAGACUGACGGUACCGAGUGAGGAAGCACCGGCUAACUCCGUGCCAGCAGCCGCGGUAAUACGGAGGGUGCGAGCGUUGUCCGGAAUCACUGGGCGUAAAGGGCGCGUAGGCGGUGACUUAAGCGUGUGGUGAAAGCCCGGGGCUCAACCCCGGGUCGGCCGUGCGAACUGGGUCACUCGAGCACUGUAGAGGCAGGUGGAAUUCCGGGUGUAGCGGUGGAAUGCGUAGAGAUCCGGAAGAACACCAGUG
rnacentral:rRNA from 1 species